UCCUGGCUCAGAUUGAACGCUGGCGGCAGGCUUAACACAUGCAAGUCGAGCGGGGAAGGGUAGCUUGCUACCUGACCUAGCGGCGGACGGGUGAGUAAUGCUUAGGAAUCUGCCUAUUAGUGGGGGACAACAUUCCGAAAGGAAUGCUAAUACCGCAUACGCCCUACGGGGGAAAGCAGGGGAUCUUCGGACCUUGCGCUAAUAGAUGAGCCUAAGUCAGAUUAGCUAGUUGGUGGGGUAAAGGCCUACCAAGGCGACGAUCUGUAGCGGGUCUGAGAGGAUGAUCCGCCACACUGGGACUGAGACACGGCCCAGACUCCUACGGGAGGCAGCAGUGGGGAAUAUUGGACAAUGGGGGGAACCCUGAUCCAGCCAUGCCGCGUGUGUGAAGAAGGCCUUUUGGUUGUAAAGCACUUUAAGCGAGGAGGAGGCUACCGAGAUUAAUACUCUUGGAUAGUGGACGUUACUCGCAGAAUAAGCACCGGCUAACUCUGUGCCAGCAGCCGCGGUAAUACAGAGGGUGCGAGCGUUAAUCGGAUUUACUGGGCGUAAAGCGUGCGUAGGCGGCUUUUUAAGUCGGAUGUGAAAUCCCUGAGCUUAACUUAGGAAUUGCAUUCGAUACUGGGAAGCUAGAGUAUGGGAGAGGAUGGUAGAAUUCCAGGUGUAGCGGUGAAAUGCGUAGAGAUCUGGAGGAAUACCGAUGGCGAAGGCAGCCAUCUGGCCUAAUACUGACGCUGAGGUACGAAAGCAUGGGGAGCAAACAGGAUUAGAUACCCUGGUAGUCCAUGCCGUAAACGAUGUCUACUAGCCGUUGGGGNCUUUGAGGCUUUAGUGGCGCAGCUAACGCGAUAAG
rnacentral:rRNA from 1 species